rnacentral:rRNA from 1 species
AUUGAACGCUGGCGGCAUGCCUUACACAUGCAAGUCGAACGGUAACAGGUCUUCGGAUGCUGACGAGUGGCGAACGGGUGAGUAAUACAUCGGAACGUGCCCGAUCGUGGGGGAUAACGAAGCGAAAGCUUUGCUAAUACCGCAUAAGAUCUACGGAUGAAAGCAGGGGACCGCAAGGCCUUGCGCGAACGGAGCGGCCGAUGGCAGAUGGGGUAGUUGGUGGGAUAAAAGCUUACCAAGCCGACGAUCUGUAGCUGGUCUGAGAGGACGACCAGCCACACUGGGACUGAGACACGGCCCAGACUCCUACGGGAGGCAGCAGUGGGGAAUUUUGGACAAUGGGCGAAAGCCUGAUCCAGCCAUGCCGCGUGCAGGAUGAAGGCCUUCGGGUUGUAAACUGCUUUUGUACGGAACGAAAAGACUCUUUCUAAUAAAGAGGGUCCAUGACGGUACCGUAAGAAUAAGCACCGGCUAACUACGUGCCAGCCGCCGCAGUAACAC